UCCUGGUAUCUAUGAUGAGUUUAUUUAUAUACACGAGUCCAGCGUCAAAUCCAGUAGCAAGAGGUAAAACAAUGAAAUUUGCAAUCUGAUGGUAAUGUUAUAUGGAAGAUAGUGGUCAAGUGGGAACUAGGGCAGAGUUCAAAUUUCUGUAGUGAAUAUAGCAACAGGGAUGUAAAAGCUGACCUUUGGUUGACAUUUGGUGAAACCAAAUAUUUGUUUAACUUCACAAAAAAAGCAUAUUUGAAUCAUAUCAACAUAACAACAGAUAAGGGUUGUAGCAAACUAUCGCUUAUGAUAUUAUUCCUGUUCUUUUUUUAUAAUUGUU
rnacentral:lncRNA from 1 species